UACGUAGGGUGCGAGCGUUGUCCGGAAUUAUUGGGCGUAAAGAGCUCGUAGGCGGUGUGUCACGUCGGCCGUGAAAACCUGCAGCUUAACUGUGGGCGUGCGGUCGAUACGGGCAUCACUGGAGUUCGGCAGGGGAGACUGGAAUUCCUGGUGUAGCGGUGAAAUGCGCAGAUAUCGGGAAGAACACCCGUGGCGAAGGCGGUUCUCUGGGACGGUACUGACGCUGAGACGCGAAAGCGUGGGGAGCGAACAGG
rnacentral:rRNA from 1 species